GUAACGGCGAGUGAAGCGGGAUGAGCUCAAGCUUAAAAUCUCCAUACAAGUUUUGUAUGGCGAAUUGUAGUCUAUAGAGGCGUGGUCAGUGUGAGCACUUGGGGCAAGUUCCUUGGAACAGGACAGCAUGGAGGGUGAUACUCCCGUUUAUCCCUAAGUAGCUUGUGCGUACGACCCGUUUUCUUUGAGUCGCGUUGUUUGAGAAUGCAGCGCAAAGUAGGUGGUAAAUUCCAUCUAAAGCUAAAUAUUGGUGCGAGACCGAUAGCGAACAAGUACCGUGAGGGAAAGAUGAAAAGAACUUUGAAAAGAGAGUUAAAGAGUACCUGAAACUGCUGAAAGGGAACCGAAUCGUUUCCAGUGUCUAUAAUCCGUGGUAUAUUUCAUUGGCGAGUGUGUGCGUGCGUGUGUUCUGGAAGCGGCUAUUGCUGCGCUAGUCGCGUGUGUUGUGUGUGCUUGUUGGUGCCCUGUGCUGCGGUGGGACGUCAAAGUCAGUUCUUAUACUGUGUGAGAUGGCUGCUAUGGAGGUAGGGCUUACGCUUGCGUUUGUCUGUUAUAUCCUGGUAGUGUCUCGCGGUUGGGACUGAGGUGCCUACAACGUGCUUUUGAGUGGGCUUGUAACUUUGUUUACGAAACAUGCAGAUUGCUUGCAAUGUGUGUGUGGCUUGAAUGAAUUAUUGCAAGCUUUAACUCGUUGCCAUUCGGGACUUUGACGAAAUGGNNNNNNNNNNNNNGUCUUGAAACACGGACCAAGGAGUCUAACAUAUGUGCAAGUGUUAGGGUGUGGAAACCCCAGCGCAAAAUGAAAGUGAAGGGCAGCGAAGUGUCUUAGGUAGGAAACGUUGUGUUACGGUGUGGCACUAUCGACCGAUCAUGAACCUUCGUGGUGAAAGAUUUGAGUUUGAGCACAUAUGUUGGUACCCGAAAGAUGGUGAACUAUGCCUGAGUCGGGUGAA
rnacentral:rRNA from 1 species